rnacentral:rRNA from 1 species
UGAAGCUGGAAUUGCUAGUAAUGGCAGGUCAGCAUACUGCCGUGAAUACGUUCCCGGGCCCUUGUACACACCGCCCGUCACACCAUGAGAGUUGGAAAUACCCGAAGCCUGUGAGCUAACAGUAAUGAGGCAGCAGUCGAAGGUUAGAGCCAAUGAUUGGGGUGAAGUCGUAACAAGGUACC